GAUGAACGCUGGCGGCGUGCCUAAUACAUGCAAGUCUAGCGAAUGGAUUAAGAGCUUGCUCUUAUGAAGUUAGCGGCGGACGGGUGAGUAACACGUGGGUAACCUGCCCAUAAGACUGGGAUAACUCCGGGAAACCGGGGCUAAUACCGGAUAACAUUUUGAACCGCAUGGUUCGAAAUUGAAAGGCGGCUUCGGCUGUCACUUAUGGAUGGACCCGCGUCGCAUUGGCUAGUUGGUGAGGUAACGGCUCACCAAGGCAACGAUGCGUAGCCGACCUGAGAGGGUGAUCGGCCACACUGGGACUGAGACACGGCCCAGACUCCUACGGGAGGCAGCAGUAGGGAAUCUUCCGCAAUGGACGAAAGUCUGACGGAGCAACGCCGCGUGAGUGAUGAAGGCUUUCGGGUCGUAAAACUCUGUUGUUAGGGAAGAACAAGUGCUAGUUGAAUAAGCUGGCACCUUGACGGUACCUAACCAGAAAGCCACGGCUAACUACGUGCCAGCCGCCGCCGUAA
rnacentral:rRNA from 1 species